rnacentral:rRNA from 1 species
AACGAACGCUGGCGGCAUGCCUAACACAUGCAAGUCGAACGAGACCUUCGGGUCUAGUGGCGCACGGGUGCGUAACGCGUGGGAACCUGCCUUAGGUUCGGAAUAACAGUGAGAAAUUACUGCUAAUACCGGAUGAUGUCUUCGGACCAAAGAUUUAUCGCCCAAGGAUGAGCCCGCGUAGGAUUAGCUAGUUGGUGAGGUAAAGGCUCACCAAGGCGACGAUCCUUAGCUGGUCUGAGAGGAUGAUCAGCCACACUGGGACUGAGACACGGCCCAGACUCCUACGGGAGGCAGCAGUGGGGAAUAUUGGACAAUGGGCGAAAGCCUGAUCCAGCAAUGCCGCGUGAGUGAUGAAGGCCUUAGGGUUGCAAAGCUCUUUUACCCGGGAUGAUAAUGACAGUACCGGGAGAAUAAGCCCCGGCUAACUCCGUG